GCCAUUGUGGCGUAGUGGUUGGAGUGUUAGACUACAACUCUGGAGAGCAGGGUCCGAUUCCCAGCUGGGCCA